rnacentral:rRNA from 10 species
GUCUACGGCCAUAGCACCCUGAAUGCGCCCGAUCUCGUCUGAUCUCGGAAGCUAAGCAGGGUCGGGCCUGGUUAGUUACUUGGAUGGGAGACCGCCUGGGAAUACCGGGUGCUGUAGGCU